AACGAACGCUGGCGGCAUGCCUAACACAUGCAAGUCGAACGAGACCUUCGGGUCUAGUGGCGCACGGGUGCGUAACGCGUGGGAACCUGCCCUUAGGUUCGGAAUAACUCCCCGAAAGGGGUGCUAAUACCGGAUAAUGUCUUCGGACCAAAGAUUUAUCGCCUUUGGAUGGGCCCGCGUUGGAUUAGCUAGUUGGUAGGGUAAAAGCCUACCAAGGCGACGAUCCAUAGCUGGUCUGAGAGGAUGAUCAGCCACACUGGGACUGAGACACGGCCCAGACUCCUACGGGAGGCAGCAGUGGGGAAUAUUGGACAAUGGGCGAAAGCCUGAUCCAGCAAUGCCGCGUGAGUGAUGAAGGCCUUAGGAUUGUAAAGCUCUUUUACCCGGGAUGAUAAUGACAGUACCGGGAGAAUAAGCUCCGGCUAACUCCGU
rnacentral:rRNA from 1 species